rnacentral:rRNA from 1 species
AUUGAACGCUGGCGGCAGGCCUAACACAUGCAAGUCGAGCGGAGCGGCGGACGGGUGAGUAAUACCUAGGAAUCUGCCUGAUAGUGGGGGAUAACGUUCGGAAACGGACGCUAAUACCGCAUACUAUCAGAUGAGCCUAGGUCGGAUUAGCUAGUUGGUGAGGUAAUGGCUCACCAAGGCUACGAUCCGUAACUGGUCUGAGAGGAUGAUCAGUCACACUGGAACUGAGACACGGUCCAGACUCCUACGGGAGGCAGCAGUGGGGAAUAUUGCGCAAUGGGGGCAACCCUGACGCAGCCAUGCCGCGUGAAUGAAGAAGGCCUUCGGGUUGUAAAGUUCUUUCGGUAGCGAGGCGUUAACUACAGAAGAAGCACCGGCUAACUCCGUGCCAGCAGCCGCGGUAAUAC